GAUGAAGAACGUAGCGAAAUGUGAUAAGUAGUGUGAAUUGCAGAAUUCAGUGAAUCAUCGAAUCUUUGAACGCACAUUGCGCCCUUUGGUAUUCCAAAGGGCAUGCCUGUUCGAGCGUCAUUUGUACCCUCAAGCUUUGCUUGGUGUUGGGCGUCUUGUCUCUAGCUUUGCUGGAGACUCGCCUUAAAGUAAUUGGCAGCCGGCCUACUGGUUUCGGAGCGCAGCACAAGUCGCACUCUCUAUCAGCAAAGGUCUAGCAUCCAUUAAGCCUUUUUUUCAACUUUUGACCUCAAAUCAGGCAGGACUACCCGCUGAACUUAAGCAUAUCAAUAAGCGGAGGA
rnacentral:misc_RNA from 1 species